UUAUAAUUUUCUUGCUUGCUUAGCAAUCAACAUCAAGUCCACUGACAAGUCCAAAGCAAGCACAGGAAAUGCCGUCCUGCAGAGGUAAAGGUUAAGGCCAACAUUUCCGAGAACUGAGACAGGAGUGUGCAGAAGAGAAGAGCCCCAAUCCAAUCACUCAGUCUUCCUUGUAGCUGUUCCCAUGUUCUAAGCGUGAGUUCGAUGUCCUGUCUGCCGCCAAGGACUGGAAGCUUCCCCAUUUCUGCCAUAAAAAGUGAACAGGUUACUCCUGGCUGCUUAAAUUUCAUGCCUGAAAUAUCCCGGAUAAGCUGCUUGGAACGAGCCAAACAUUACAAUGAAAAUGGGAUCUGGCAUCCUUUCCUGAUUAAUGGCAGGGCUGGAUUCUGUCAGUGUUCAACGACAUGAAAUUCCAAGGCCUGGAACCAAAUGUCCAUGCUUUCCAAGGACCCCAAAAGUACACCCACUACCCCACUCCCAGACAAGGCAAGGAAGGAAGGAGGGGUUGCAAUGACAUCUCCGAGCCACCAGAGAGCAUAUCUUCAUCUGGGUUCAGAACAUUUUACAAAACAGGGGGAAAAGGGGGGAAAAGAUAUCCCUUCCUGCUUCAAUCAAACAAUCCUUGGAUUUCAGACUUUCCAGAAAUAUUAAAUUUCUAAACCACUGUAUUUCUUAUUUCAUCACUGUAUUUUUCAUUUAAACGUUUUUAGAAAAUGACAAAAUAUUGUUUUGC
rnacentral:lncRNA from 1 species